CGGUAGCACAGAGAGCUUGCUCUCGGGUGACGAGUGGCGGACGGGUGAGUAAUGUCUGGGAAACUGCCUGAUGGAGGGGGAUAACUACUGGAAACGGUAGCUAAUACCGCAUAACGUCGCAAGACCAAAGAGGGGGACCUUCGGGCCUCUUGCCAUCAGAUGUGCCCAGAUGGGAUUAGCUAGUAGGUGGGGUAACGGCUCACCUAGGCGACGAUCCCUAGCUGGUCUGAGAGGAUGACCAGCCACACUGGAACUGAGACACGGUCCAGACUCCUACGGGAGGCAGCAGUGGGGAAUAUUGCACAAUGGGCGCAAGCCUGAUGCAGCCAUGCCGCGUGUAUGAAGAAGGCCUUCGGGUUGUAAAGUACUUUCAGCGGGGAGGAAGGUGUUGUGGUUAAUAACCGCAGCAAUUGACGUUACCCGCAGAAGAAGCACCGGCUAACUCCGUGCCAGCAGCCGCGGUAAUACGGAGGGUGCAAGCGUUAAUCGGAAUUACUGGGCGUAAAGCGCACGCAGGCGGUCUGUCAAGUCGGAUGUGAAAUCCCCGGGCUCAACCUGGGAACUGCAUUCGAAACUGGCAGGCUAGAGUCUUGUAGAGGGGGGUAGAAUU
rnacentral:rRNA from 1 species